AGAGUUCAAGAGUACGUGAAACCGCUUAGUAGUAAACGGAGGGGCUCUCGAAGUCGGCGGUGACGGUUCAGGGUGACGUCUGGGCGGCCUGGGGGCGUGGGAUCCGCAAGGACCCUGUCCCUUUGUUGGCUCGGUCGGCGCCUGCACUUCGUUGCCGCCAUACGCGACGAACCGUUUUGGACGCACCGAGGGCGUGGGUGAAGUUUGCGGGCUUCGGCCUUCAAGCCCCGCGUUCCUGGCUGUGUCUGGGACGGGUAGUGGAGCGAUCUCUUAUAGAGAGUGCCCUUGCUGGCACGGUUCGCAUCUCUGUCGCGAGUAGGUCGGCGGCCCCUCCGACCCGUCUUGAAACACGGA
rnacentral:rRNA from 1 species